AUCUAGCUGAUGAGUCUCAAAUAGGACAAAACGCGCAUCAGACUGGAU
rfam:Schistosoma rodhaini strain Burundi genome assembly, scaffold: SROB_scaffold0000052